rnacentral:rRNA from 1 species
UACAGAGGGUGCAAGCGUUAAUCGGAUUUACUGGGCGUAAAGCGUGCGUAGGCGGUUUGUUAAGUCGGAUGUGAAAUCCCUGGGCUCAACCUGGGAACUGCAUUCGAUACUGGCAGGCUAGAAAACGGUAGAGGGAGGCGGAACUCCAGGUGUAGCAGUGAAAUGCGUAGAUAUCUGGAAGAACACCGAUGGCGAAGGCAACCUCCUGGGCCUGUUUUGACGCUGAGGCACGAAAGCGUGGGGAG